rnacentral:rRNA from 1 species
CGCGUGAGCGAAGAAGUAUUUCGGUAUGUAAAGCUCUAUCAGCAGGGAAGAAAAUGACGAUACCUGGCUAAGAAGCACCGGCAAAUACGUGCCAGCAGCCGCGGUAAUACGUAUGGUGCAAGCGUUAUCCGGAUUUACUGGGUGUAAAGGGAGCGCAGGCGGAAGGCUAAGUCUGAUGUGAAAGCCCGGGGCUCAACCCCGGUACUGCAUUGGAAACUGGUCAUCUAGAGUGUCGGAGGGGUAAGUGGAAUUCCUAGUGUAGCGGUGAAAUGCGUAGAUAUUAGGAGGAACACCAGUGGCGAAGGCGGCUUACUGGACGAUAACUGACGCUGAGGCUCGAAAGCGUGGGGAGCAAACAGGAUUAGAUACCCUGGUAGUCCACGCCGUANACGAUGAAUACUAG